rnacentral:piRNA from 1 species
CGAAGAAAAUAUGUGGUGUACAGGCA